rnacentral:rRNA from 1 species
UCCGGUGGUAUGAGAGUGGCCUGCGUCUGUAUUAGCUAGUUGGUGGGUAACGGCUCACCAAGGCGACGAUCAGUAGCCGGUCUGAGAGGAUGAACGGCCACAUUGGGACUGAGACACGGCCCAAACUCCUACGGGAGGCAGCAGUGGGGAAUCUUCCGCAAUGGGCGCAAGCCUGACGGAGCAACGCCGCGUGAGUGAAGAAGGUUUUCGGAUCGUAAAGCUCUGUUGAGAGGGACGAGAGAUAUAAUCAGGAAAUGGGUUAUAGAGGACGGUACCUUUCGAGGAAGCCACGGCUAACUACGUG